rnacentral:rRNA from 1 species
GACGAACGCUGGCGGCGUGCUUAACACAUGCAAGUCGAACGGAAAGGCCCUGCUUUUGUGGGGUGCUCGAGUGGCGAAAGGGUGGGUAACACGUGAGUAACCUGCCCUUGACUUUGGGAUAACUUCAGGAAACUGGGGCUAAUACCGGAUAGGAGCUCCUGCUGCAUGGUGGGGGUUGGAAAGUUUCGGCGGUUGGGGAUGGACUCGCGGCUUAUCAGCUUGUUGGUGGGGUAGUGGCUUACCAAGGCUUUGACGGGUAGCCGGCCUGAGAGGGUGACCGGCCACAUUGGGACUGAGAUACGGCCCAGACUCCUACGGGAGGCAGCAGUGGGGAAUAUUGCACAAUGGGCGGAAGCCUGAUGCAGCAACGCCGCGUGCGGGAUGACGGCCUUCGGGUUGUAAACCGCCUUCGCCUGUGACGAAGCGUGAGUGACGGUAAUGGGUAAAGAAGCACCGGCUAACUACGUG